GACUGUAUAAAAUAAUGGACGUAGUCACCGUGACGUCAUCUGUCCGUUUCUGAAGAGUGGAUUUGAAGCUCAAAAUACUCCGCUCUGGACGUCGCCAUCUUGGCAGUGCCUGACUCCGCCCAACUCCCGGACAAUCAAAAAUGGGCAAAGAGGUGGGCCAAAGGAAGCCUGGCUGCCUAAACACGCCCACCUCGCUCGGCGCUGCUAAGUUAGCUAAGGCUAACAAGCUAGGCUAAGAAGCUACGAGGCUAAGAAGCUACGUUACUUUGGCUAGCCCUGUGGUGUUGGCUGCUCCCUUGGUGCCAGCUCCCUCACGAAACUUGAGCGUGGAUCAUUGGUGACAGCUAUGUCCGGCGUGGUGUCCAGAGAGCUGCAGAGACCUUGGGAAGCACCCUCAGCAUGCCGGGCGUCCGUGUCUGCUGGUUUGGCUGGGGUGGACUGCAGUGGGGAGGCCUUCUCUCCUUCUUUUCGCACUCCCUGCGAGGAAGAGCAGCACCAGAUGUCCUCAUCAUCCACUGUGGCGGCAGUGACAUGGGGAAGGUCAGCAGUGUCAAGAAGCUAGUCAGCAUGAUGAAGGAGGACCUGCACCAGCUUCACCUCCAGCAUCCUGGCAUUAAGAUAAUAUUUUCUUCAUUGGCCCAAAGAUGCAGGUGGGAGGCUGGUGGCAAUCCAGCAAAGAUUGAUAAGGCCAGGAAAUGUGUGUUAUGGCUACAUUUGUUCAUAGUUUAAAUGGUGCCAUAAUUGAGCACCCUCACAUCAGACACAUUCAUCUCACACCUAGGAGAAAUUAUAUGUUUUUAAGUAAAUUAGUUAAUUGUCUUAAAGACCACCUCCAAACGCAGUGAACUGCUUACAGUUGGCAGUGUUACUGCUUUUGAAUUUGGCCUUUAGGACACAUUUUGUUAGGCCUGAUCAUAGCCCAGGCUGUCAUGGCUAAUGUUGAGUUUUUGAUAUUCAUCUAUAACUUGUUUAAAAUUUCAAUAAAUUCUAUUUAUAUUUGCA